CGCUCUGGUGGCCUAGUAGUAAGAGCGUCCGCCUCGGAUGCGGGAGGUCGGAGGUUCGAUCCCUUGUCGAGUCA